rnacentral:rRNA from 1 species
UACGUAGGGACCAAGCGUUGUUCGGAUUUACUGGGCGUAAAGGGCGCGUAGGCGGCAAUUCAAGUCAUCUGUGAAAUCUCCGGGCUUAACACGGAACGGUCAGAUGAUACUGCUUUGCUCGAGUGCGGAAGGGGCAAUCGGAAUUCUUGGUGUAGCGGUGAAAUGCGUAGAUAUCAAGAGGAACACCUGAGGUGAAGACGGGUUGCUGGGCCGACACUGACGCUGAAGCGCGAAAGCCAGGGGAGCAAACGGG